rnacentral:tRNA from 1 species
GGUAUCACGCCGGAAGAACGGACUACCCUGAUGAGGUAGAAUAUGGGCUAUGCCCUGAUGCCU